GACGAACGCUGGCGGCGUGCUUAAUACAUGCAAGUCGAACGGAAAGGCGCUGCUCUUGUGGGGCGCUCGAGUGGCGAACGGGUGAGUAACACGCGUGUAACCUGUCCCUGACUUUGGGAUAACUCCAGGAAACUGGGGAUAAUACCGGAGAGGAGCUCCUGCUGCAUGGUGGGGGUUGGAAAGAUUCGGUGGUAGGGGAUGGUAUCGCGGCUUAUCGGCUUGUUGGGGGGGUAGUGGCUUACCACGGCUUUGACGGGUACCCGGCCUGGGAGGGUGACCGGCGACAUGAGGACUAAGGUACGGCCCAGACGCCUACCGUAGGCAGCAGUGGGGAGUAUUGCAGAAUGGCGGGACGCCUGAGGCGACAGCGCCGCGUGCGUGAUAACGGGCUUCGAGUUAUGAACCGCUUUCUCCUGUGACGAAGCGUGAGUGACGGUAAUGGGUAAGGAAGCACCGGCUAACUACGUG
rnacentral:rRNA from 1 species